rnacentral:rRNA from 1 species
UACAGAGGUCUCAAGCGUUGUUCGGAUUCAUUGGGCGUAAAGGGUGCGUAGGCGGCGCGGUAAGUCGGGUGUGAAAUCUCAGGGCUCAACCCUGAAACUGCACUCGAUACUGCUCUGCUUGAGGACUGGAGAGGAGACUGGAAUUCACGGUGUAGCAGUGAAAUGCGUAGAUAUCGUGAGGAAGACCAGUGGCGAAGGCGGGUCUCUGGACAGUCCCUGACGCUGAGGCGCGAAGGCCAGGGGAGCAAACGGG